AAAAAUGUAAGAACGUUUUUAAGUCAAAAUCACGAAAAAAUGUUUCAUUUGAAAAUAAAAUUGUUGUCUUCCAUAUACAUAGUACAUUUUCCAAAAUCAAUAAAAAUGGUGAAAAAAUUGCACUAAGUUAUUUGGCUUCCUACUGCACACGCAUUCAUUCCCCGAAUCUGGCGUAUGAGGUGUUUUACUGUUCACAGAGAACGAGAGAGUAAUACCUGGAACCAAACUCAGUGACAAUAAAGUGACUCGUAAUCGCCGGGACCACAGACUAUUUUGGAAGCUACUACAUUAAAUAAAAAACCCAGGCAUGGUUGGAUAUGGAAGAAUUAGUUGAGGUUACUAAAGAUAAAAAAUGUAUUUCCUAUAUUACGUCAUCUUUAUCAUCGUUUUCGUAUGUGAGUCAUAGAAGUUAAUUUAAAAUCCCAGGAUAGACCAUUUGAUGUGCAGCAAUGAUUUUCAAGUGAAAUUAUCUGAAGGAUGAUUGUUUCUGUUGAAUUUUUGGAAAUGCUAUCGAUUAUCAGGACAAGUCUAUCAGGAUAGUACAAAGACAGUCACGUGCAAAAUAUAAAAAAAUACUUUCAAAUCAUGCUGAUCGAUAAUCGAUUUAAGGCGAAUAUUGUAGAAAAAGUAUCUCAAGAUUUAUUUGGAUCAAAAUUAAACCUCAAGUACAAAACGUUGGAUUUUUGUACCGGAAAUAAGGUAUUAAAAUAUUCGUCAUACAUCACUCAAUUCUGGAACAAAUAACUAGAACAGCAUUAUAGAUAGCAUCACAAAUUUCGGGACAAUGGACAUCGACUUAGAUCGUAAUCCUACAAAAAAUUAUUUAGUAGAGUCAAAUAUCUGGACCUUGAUAGUCUGUACUUCUUCACUCUGGCGAAAGGACAAAGAAACGUUACUAGCCACGACCGUCCAUAAACUACGCUACCUCGCUGGCCACCUGGAUAUAGCACAACGUAGUUGAAGAAGUUUCGGAUAUCUAUUGAUUGCAGUUAAGAAACAAAACGCACUCUUCUUUAAGCAGUUUCUUCAGAAAUCAUCUGUGCAGUCACUAUUUGGCGCGGAACCGUCUCCUAGGAACGUUCCUACAUUAACACUUCGAAGAACUACAGCAAUAUACCGAAGUAAUUUCAGACGCGACAAACUUCAGGCGAGCACUGAAUGGUAUUCACCAUGAACUUAAGUUCAUGAAACCAGAGAGACCCUCACGCAACCACAUUCUGGAUAUUGUAGUAGACUAAAAUCGUGCUAAUCCAGAAUAAACCUUGACUUACUAAACAUA